AAUUCGAAGCGGAAGUUACUUUGUGUGUGGGGGUGUCCUCAAGUAUUGAAAAUUUCAUGGUCGAAUGACAACCCCCGUCGUAGAUUCUUCGGUUGUAAGUAUUAUGGGGUAGGUUAAGUUCUGAAAUUUUUGAAUGGGUUAUAUUUUGUUUGAUUUUUCUUAAAUUCUAAUAUUGUUUAUUUUGAUUCCACACAGUUGAAAUGGCGAAGUCCAUGUGAACAUUUCGAGUGGUAUGACCUUCAAUUCCCUCGGCAAGCAAAUAUUGUGAUAUUGGGUUUGCUAAAGAAGAGCAACAAUUAACAAAAAUAAUUGAAGUGGAAGAAAGUCUUAAAGCUAAUAUUGUGUUUUAGCUUGUUAUGCAAUGUAAUAAUGUAUUUGGGUUGUUUGUCUAUUAUUUUAUUAACGGAAUGCCAGAAGAUGUAUUUGUAUUUUAGUUCGAUCGAUGUAGUCUCCAGUUGUGUUUUAGUUCGAUGAAUGUACUCACCAGAAACUCUAUUUGUGUUAUUCAAUGCAUUGUCUAUAUGAAAUAAUAUAUAUGUUGGCAGA
rnacentral:lncRNA from 1 species